rnacentral:rRNA from 1 species
AAUGAACGUUGGCGGCGUGCUUAACACAUGCAAGUCGAGCGAGAAAGUCCCUUCGGGGGCGAGUAGAGCGGCGGACUGGUGAGGAACACGUGAGAAUCUGCCCUACAGUGAAGGAUACCACUGGGAAACUGGUGUUAAUACUGCAUACGUCCCUUCGGGGAGAAAAACAGCUUUAUGCUGUUGCUGUUGGAUGAGCUUGCGUACUAUUAGCUUGUUGGUGAGGUAAUGGCUCACCAAGGCGAUGAUGGUUAACCGGCCUGAGAGGGUGUACGGUCACAUUGGAACUGAGAUACGGUCCAG